rnacentral:rRNA from 1 species
UACAGAGGUCCCAAGCGUUGUUCGGAAUUACUGGGCGUAAAGCGUGCGUAGGUGGUUCGUUGUGUCUGUGGUGAAAGCCCCGGGCUUAACCUGGGAAUGGCCAUGGAAACUGGCGAGCUGGAGUCUGGCAGAGGGGGGUGGAAUUCCGCGUGUAGCAGUGAAAUGCGUAGAGAUGCGGAGGAACACCGAUGGCGAAGGCAGCCCCCUGGGCUAAGACUGACGCUGAGGCACGAAAGCGUGGGGAGCAAACAGG